CUCGCCGAGACCCCCCGUGCGCCCCUCUUCUCCCUGACGCCGCCGAAUCUCCUGUGCCCUAACCGCCGAGGCAGUUCCCUCUCCUAUCUCUUAUUCUCCUCUGCCGACGCCGAACCAGAUUCUCUUCUGUGCUCAGCCGCGACACCCAUCUCCUGGCACAACCUAGCAUCUCCCUCACAGUGUGUUGCUGUCGCGCCGCCGCCGGCCGAGCUGUUUUCCUCAGUCCUAGUUCUCCGGCCGACUUCUCCUCUCGGGCUUGCGACCCCCUCAUUUCUCUCCUCACCGGUGCACAACUUUGACUAGGGGCAGAGCCGAGCCCUAGUUUCCCGAUCGCCGGCACUCGAGUACCACUGUUUGGGUUCUUCCGUGCCCUAGCACUGAAGCCGACUACCACUGUGUGCCGACGCCGUUUGUGUGCCUAAACCCCCUCUGCCCUAGUUCCUUUUUGCUGAGCCAACAAGGUGUAGGGUUUAGCGGAUCGCUGAUUACGAGGGUAAUCUUGUGCUGUGGAUUGUUCUUGGGUCCGGCAGCCACUUUCCAGCAGCUAUUUCUUUUGGGCAGCAACUUUGUGACUUUCAGUAGCGGCUGAGUUGAGGACUUUGACACGAGACGAGCAUCUCGACGUCGGAUUGGACCUUUCUAUUUUCGGAGGCGGG